rnacentral:rRNA from 1 species
UACGUAGGGGGCAAGCGUUGUCCGGAUUUAUUGGGCGUAAAGAGCGUGUAGGCGGCCAGGUAGGUCUGGUGUGAAAACUCGAGGCUUAACCUCGAGAUGUCAUCGGAAACCAUUUGGCUAGAGUCCGGAAGAGGAGAGUGGAAUUCCUGGUGUAGCGGUGAAAUGCGUAGAUAUCUGGAGGAACACCGGUGGCGAAGGCGGCAUCCUGGACCAAUUCUGACGCUGAGGAGCGAAAGCCAGGGGAGCAAACGGG